rnacentral:ncRNA from 1 species
AAGAGCCGUAUGAUGGGAGACCAUCACGUACGAUUCUGUGAGAGGGGCGAGGUGAAAUUCCUCGUUCCUACUCGAC